rnacentral:rRNA from 1 species
UACGUAGGUGGCGAGCGUUGUUCGGAUUUAUUGGGCGUAAAGGGUCCGCAGGGGGUUGAUUAAGUUUGACGUGAAAUCCCGGAGCUUAGCUCCGGAACCGCGUUGAAGACUGGUUGACUAGAGUGCUGGAGAGGUAAUUGGAAUUCCAGGUGUAGCGGCGGAAUGCGUAGAUAUCUGGAAGGAUAUCGAUAGCGAAGGCAGAUUACUGGACAGCAACUGACCCUCAGGGACGAAAGCAUGGGGAGCAAAC